GAACUAUGCCUGAGUAGGAUGAAGCCGGAGGAAACUCUGGUGGAGGUCCGAAGCGUUUUUGACGUGCAAAUCAAUCGUCAGACUUGGGUAUAGGGGCGAAAGACUAAUCGAACCAUCUAGUAGCUGGUUCCCUUCGAAGUUUCCCCCAGGAAAGCUGGUGCCAUGUUUGACAGUUUUAUCUGGUAAAGCGAAUGAUUAGAGGCAUUGGGGACGAAUUGUUCUCGACCUAUUCUCAAACUUUAAAUGGGUAAUGUACCGUUGUACUUCUUGAUAUUCUUGAGUUCUCGGUCAAAUGCAAUGGCGCCAAGUGGGCCAUUUUUGGUAAGCAGAACUGGCGAUGUGGGAUGAACCAAACGUUGAGCUAGGAUGCCCAAAGUGCUUCUCAUGAGAUACCAUGAAAGGUGUCAGUCGAUAUUGACAGCAGGACGGUGGCCGCAGAAGUAGGAAUCCGCUAAGGAGUGUGUAACAACUCACCUGCCGAAUCGACUGGUCCUGAAAAUGGAUGGCGCUGGAGACGUAUAUCCAUGCUCGACCGUCAAUACCAAUUUAAGCGGUUGCUAUAUGGUUUGACGUGUAGAAGGGCGAUUGCCGUGGCGUCGAAACUUGCACCGUGAGGUGGGGUAGAGCUGCGGCAUGUGCAGAUCUUGGUGGUAGUAGCAAGUAUUCAAAUGAGAGCAUUGAAGACUGAAGUGGAGUAAGGUUCCAUGUGAACAUCAUUUGGACAUGGAUCAGCCGAUCCUAAGAGAACGUGUAAGUUCGUGAUUAAGCGCGUCGCCUUGUGCGUCGCAAUCGAAAGGGAAUCGGGUUAAUAUUCCCGAGCCAGGAUACGGAAUGUGUCUGAUUCAUCGAUAAUGCCUCGUGUAUUUUCGACUUCAGACAAGAGCGGCAACGCUAGCAAACCCAGAGAUUAACUAUGCGAAGUCCGGGGAAGAGUUUUCUCUUCUUUGUAAGGAAUGUUAUCCCUGGAAUCAGAUUGUCUGGCGAUAGGGUACGCAUUCCGUAAUGCAACGCGAUUCCUGCGAUGUACCGUGCACUUCGUAUAGUGCUUGAAAAUCUGGGGGCGAGUUUGUUCAGGCCGUACCUGUUCGUACUGAUUUCCGCAGCAGGUCUCCAAGGUGAGCAGCCUCUAGUCGAUGGGACAAAGUAGACAAGGGAAGUCGGCAAAUUAGAUCCGUAACUUCGGAAAAAGGAUUGGCUCUAAAGGCUGAGUUGGUCGGGCGGUUGUGUGAAGCUAGAGGCGAAGCUAUGUCUCUGUCUCAGACUCGGUUCUCGCAAGGGAAACGGGGUCGAGGACGGAGCUUGGUCAACGCCCUUAGUGGACCGCGGUCGCUAUGCCACCCGUGUGUAAUUCUCAACGCAAGUUAAGAACCAUGCGACGUGGAUCCGAUCAGCGUUAAACAGCUGACCUAGAACUGGUAUGGACAAGGGGAAUCCAACUGUUUAAUUAAAACAAAGCAUUGCGAUAGCUGUAAUCGGUGUUGACGCGAUGUGAUUUCUGCCCAGUGCUCUGAAUGUUAAAGUGAAGGAACUCAUCUAAGCGCGAGUUAACGGCGGAAGUAACUAUGACUUUCUUAAGGUAGCCAAAUGCCUCGUCAUCUAAUUAGUGACGUGCAUGAAUGGAUUAUUGAGAUUCCUUCUGUCCCUGUCUGCAACCUAGCGAAACCACAGCCAAGGGAACGGGCUUGGAGAGUAACAGCGGGGAAAGAAGACCCUGUUGAGCUUGACUCUAGUCAGUCUCUGUGAAGAAACAUGAUGGGUGUAGAAUAGGUGGGAGGACGCAAAAGUGAAAUACCACUACCAUCAUCGUUUCUUUACUUACUCAAUUGAUCAGGGAGCGUGAAUUCGCUAUUUGCGAUGUAUGAUUAUUCCUUUAGUGGAAUAAGUGUCUGGUUUGAGAACACAGACUGAUUGGGAGUUUGACUGGGGCGGUACAUCUGUUAAAAUCUAACGCAGGUGUCCUAAGGCAAUCUCAGCGUGGACAGAAACCUCGCAUAGAGCGAAAGGGCAAAAGAUUGCUUGAUCUUGAUUUUCAGUACGAAUAAAGACAAUGAAAGUUUGGCUUGUCGAUCCUUUUGAAUUUUACGAGUUUUAAGCAAGAGGUGUCAGAAAAGUUACCACAGGGCAUAACUGGCU
rnacentral:rRNA from 1 species